rnacentral:rRNA from 1 species
CCUACGGGAGGCUGCAGUGAGGAAUAUUGGUCAAUGGCCGUAAGGCUGAACCAGCCAAGUCGCGUGAAGGAAGAAGGAUCUAUGGUUUGUCAACUUCUUUUAUAGGGGAAUAAAGGUAUACACGUGUGGAUAUUUGCAUGUACCCUAUGAAUAAGCAUCGGCUAACUCCGUGCCAGCAGCCGCGGUAAUACGGAGGAUGCGAGCGUUAUCCGGAUUUAUUGGGUUUAAAGGGUGCGUAGGUGGUUGUUUAAGUCAGCGGUGAAAGUGUGGGGCUCAACCAUAGAAUUGCCGUUGAAACUGGAUGGCGUGAGUGCGUGAGAGGUAGGCGGAAUGCGUGGUGUAGCGGUGAAAUGCAUAGAUAUCACGCAGAACUCCGAUUGCGAAGGCAGCUUACUGGGCCAUAACUGACGCUGAAGCACGAAAGCGUGGGGAUCAAACAGGAUGAGAUACCCCAGUAGUC